rnacentral:rRNA from 1 species
AGUGAACGCUGGCGGUAGGCCUAACACAUGCAAGUCGAACGGCAGCACAGUAAGAGCUUGCUCUUACGGGUGGCGAGUGGCGGACGGGUGAGGAAUACAUCGGAAUCUACUUUUUCGUGGGGGAUAACGUAGGGAAACUUACGCUAAUACCGCAUACGACCUACGGGUGAAAGCAGGGGAUCUUCGGACCUUGCGCGAUUGAAUGAGCCGAUGUCGGAUUAGCUAGUUGGCGGGGUAAAGGCCCACCAAGGCGACGAUCCGUAGCUGGUCUGGGAGGAUGAUCAGCCACACUGGACCUGAGACACGGUCCAGCCCCCUACGGGAGGCAGCGGUGGGGAAUAUUGGACAAUGGGCGCAAGCCUGAUCCAGCCAUACCGCGUGGGUGAAGAAGGCCUUCGGGUUGUAAAGCCCUUUUGUUGGGAAAGAAAAGCAGCAGGUUAAUACCCCGCUGUUCUGACGGUACCCAAAGAAUAAGCACCGGCUAACUUCGUG